ACAUCGUAACGUUCCAUUGAGGAAACUCUGCCGAACUGUUGGAGAUCUCCUAGUAUAGAGCACUUCACCAAAUGAAUGAUCAAUGCAGCCAACACAAUAGUUGCUGAGAAAGGGCAGCCGGUUGGCCCACACCAGCCCAACCUCUAAGUGCUAAUAAACCUUGGAGCUCCA